UAAUACGGAGGAUCCGAGCGUUAUCCGGAUUUAUUGGGUUUAAAGGGUGCGUAGGUGGCCUGUUAAGUCAGGGGUGAAAGACGGUAGCUUAACUAUCGCAGUGCCCUUGAUACUGACGGGCUUGAAUGAACUAGAGGCAGGCGGAAUGUGACAAGUAGCGGUGAAAUGCAUAGAUAUGUCACAGAACACCAAUUGCGAAGGCAGCUUGCUAUGGUUUUAUUGACACUGAGGCACGAAAGCGUGGGGAUCAAACAGGAUUAGAUACCCUGGUAGUCCACGCCCUAAACGAUGAAUACUCGAUGUUGGCGAUAUACGGUCAGCGUCUAAGCGAAAGCGUUAAGUAUUCCACCUGGGGAGUACGCCCGCAAGGGUG
rnacentral:rRNA from 1 species